rnacentral:rRNA from 1 species
GACAGAGGGUGCAAACGUUGUUCGGAAUUACUGGGCGUAAAGCGCGUGUAGGCGGCUUCGCAAGUCGGAUGUGAAAUCCCACGGCUCAACCGUGGAAGUGCAUUCGAAACUGCAAGGCUAGAGUCCUGGAGAGGAAGGUGGAAUGCUUGGUGUAGAGGUGAAAUUCGUAGAUAUCAAGCGGAACACCGGUGGCGAAGGCGACCUUCUGGACAGUGACUGACGCUGAGACGCGAAAGCGUGGGGAGCAAACAGGG